AAAACGAGAAAUAGAGGCGGAAUAGGAGAAGGAGCUAAGAUGUUUGUCGGGUUCCUGAAGAUGCGUCGACGUGUUAUCAUCCACGCAAGCUUCCCCAACCCAGCCAGUGUACCACAGGACGGGAGGAGGAAGCCAGCGGCUGCAUGCACCAUUGAACAGGACGGCAUUGUAUUCCUCCCACAGGAGUGACUACAGCGAAGCAAGCCCAGAAUAAAGUGUUGAGUGACCGUGAUGAUUCAGUACUACUAACACCAAACAAGUGAGGGAAGUGUUCGGAGUGAACGUGCAAGACAUACAACAGACACCAGACUGCUGCCGCUGCUGCUACUGCCGGUGUAGCCAAAGGAACAAAAGGUCCGGAGCAGGAGGAAGAAAUGGGUGAUUCUUGGAAACGCACCAAUGAAGUUGUGAAGAUGUCUUGGGUGUGUCGCCUAGUGCGUUCCCUUGUCCCGCUCGAGAGAGAGAGAGAGAGAGAGACUCGGAUCACCACCGCGUCGAGCUGCCUGCCCACCUCCCUCCAUUGUCCUUCGCCCCUCACUUGAGUAUUGUGAACGUUGUAUUUAUUUUCAUCACGCCUCUGUGUUUGUAAAGGGAGAGUGUUCCAAUAAGUGAGCUCUGUUUGCAGUCACAUGUGUAUUUCAAAGGUGUUUUGCCAAGUGCUGUGCUGAGGUGUUGUGGUGUAUCUGUCUGUACGGUGUUCGAGCUAGCUUUCGCCCACGUUUGUGACGCUACCUUCCGUACUGCAUUUAAUGUCUGUGG